GUGUGAUUAGUCUGUGUUCUGACCACAGAGGAAAGGAGGAAUGCAAAUGCCUAUACAGACGCCCUAUCUAAUAACCGAGCCAUGAAAUCUCUCCCAUCUCCCAUAGGGCCUCACCUGCAGCAAAACAACUAAAGCAUUGUGGGUGUUCCAUUCAUCUCGCCGGGGAGCGCGUGGAAACGUGUUUCAACUGGCUGAAAGAUGAUUGCAUUAGUGGGUGUGAGCCGAUGACGUGACGAUCUUUUACCCCGGAUCAACCCUGGUCAGCGAUGAGGUGACGAUCCUUUACCCCGGAUCAACCCUGGACAGAGAUGACGUGACGAUCCUUUACCCCGGAUCAACCCUGGACAGAGAUGACGUGACGAUCCUUUACCCCGGAUCAACCCUGGACAGAGAUGACGUGACGAUCCUUUACCCCGGAUCAACCCUGGUCAGCGAUGACAUGACGGUCCUUUCCCCCGGAUCAACCCUGGUCAGCGAUGACGUGAUGGUCCUUUCCC
ensembl:lncRNA